GACGAACGCUGGCGGCGUGCUUAACACAUGCAAGUCGAGCGGUAAGGCCCUUUCGGGGGUACACGAGCGGCGAACGGGUGAGUAACACGUGGGUGACCUGCCCUCAGCUCUGGGAUAAGCCUGGGAAACCGGGUCUAAUACUGGAUAUGACUCCAUGACGCAUGUUGUGGGGUGGAAAGCCUUGUGCGGCUGAGGAUGGGCCCGNGGCCUAUCAGCUUGUUGGUGGGGUNAGGCCUACCAAGGCGACGACGGGUAGCCGGCCUGAGAGGGCGACCGGCCACACUGGGACUGAGACACGGGCCCAGACUCCUACGGGAGGCAGCAGUGGGGGAAUCUUGCGCAAUGGGCGAAAGCC
rnacentral:rRNA from 1 species